rnacentral:rRNA from 1 species
UACGUAGGGUGCGAGCGUUGUCCGGAAUUACUGGGCGUAAAGAGCUCGUAGGUGGUUUGUCGCGUUGUCCGUGAAAACUCACAGCUCAACUGUGGGCGUGCGGGCGAUACGGGCAGACUGGAGUACUGCAGGGGAGACUGGAAUUCCUGGUGUAGCGGUGGAAUGCGCAGAUAUCAGGAGGAACACCGGUGGCGAAGGCGGUUCUCUGGGCAUGACCUGACGCUGAGGAGCGAAAGCAUGGGGAGCGAACAGG